rnacentral:tRNA from 1 species
GAGGGUAGAGCUCAGCAGUAGAGCGCAUGCCUAGCAUGCAUGAGGUCCUGGGUUCAACCCCCAGUACCUCCA